CUAAUACUCCCUCCGUCCAACAAAAGAUGUCUCAACUUUGAUUAAGUUUGAAUGCAUCUAUACACUAACUCAUGUCUAGAUACAUCCAAAUUUUGACAAACUUGAGACAUCUUUGUUGGACGGAGGGAGUAUAUA
rnacentral:pre_miRNA from 1 species